rnacentral:rRNA from 1 species
AUGCGAAAAGAGAGCAGGGAAGGCCACGGCGAGGGUGCCACAGGGCAGCUAGUUGUCGAACCAGAAGGAGACCAAGCGCCCGUCCCCCACAGCGACCGUGAAGAGAGCACGAUACAGUGGCAACAGCUUAGCCAGGGCUCUCCUGUGUUUGCCCAGAGCAUGGUCACCACACGCCAGGAGCGAACUCCCGUGAGCAGCACCCCAGACCCAAGCAGCCCACCUCGACCGCGGCACACUGUGCAGUCUAUGGAUCAUCUUCAGCAGGAGGCAAUCAUUCUGCACAGCGAGGCUGCGGACCCCGAGCCCACCUUCAGUUUUCGCGCGGCACACGCGAUCCCAGGCCACCAAACAUUGGGCUCCCGACGCCCUCUCGGCCACAUUCCAUAA